AUUGAACGCUGGCGGCAUGCCUUACACAUGCAAGUCGAACGGCAGCACGGGAGCAAUCCUGGUGGCGAGUGGCGAACGGGUGAGUAAUGUAUCGGAACGUGCCCAGUCGUGGGGAGUAACGCAGCGAAAGACUGUGCUAAUACCGCAUACGAUCUAUGGAUGAAAGCGGGGGAGUCGCAAGACCUCGCGCGAUUGGAGCGGCCGAUAUCAGAUUAGCUAGUUGGUGGGGUAAAGGGACUCACCAAGGCGACGAUCUGUAGCUGGUCUGAGAGGACGACCAGCCACACUGGAACUGAGACACGGUCCAGACUCCUACGGGAGGCAGCAGUGGGGAAUUUUGGACAAUGGGCGGCAAGCCUGAUCCAGCAAUGCCGCGUGCAGGAUGAAGGCCUUCGGUU
rnacentral:rRNA from 1 species